UACGUAGGGUGCAAGCGUUAAUCGGAAUUACUGGGCGUAAAGCGUGCGCAGGCGGCUUUGCAAGACAGAUGUGAAAUCCCCGGGCUUAAUCUGGGAACUGCAUUUGUGACUGCGAGGCUGGAGUGCGGCAGAGGGGGAUGGAAUUCCGCGUGUAGCAGUGAAAUGCGUAGAUAUGCGGAGGAACACCGAUGGCGAAGGCAAUCCCCUGGGCCUGCACUGACGCUCAUGCACGAAAGCGUGGGGAGCAAACAGG
rnacentral:rRNA from 1 species